rnacentral:rRNA from 1 species
GACAGAGGGUGCAAACGUUGUUCGGAAUUAUUGGGCGUAAGAGCGUGUAGGCGGCCCGGUUAGUCCGCUGUGAAAGUCCAGGGCUCAACCCUGGAAUGCCGGUGGAUACUGUCGGGCUAGAGUCCGGAAGGGGCGAGUGGAAUUCCUGGUGUAGCGGUGAAAUGCGUUGAUAGUCGCUAGGAACUCCGGUGGCGAAGGCGAGGUGCUGGACCUUCUGACG